CUCUGUUUCACUCUUCUUUUCAGGAUUGGUGCUUCCAGAUUUUGAUUCUGGCUUCACACCAACAGAAACAGCUCCUGCUUCCUACAAUUACUCAUAGAACAAAAUAGACAGUUUUAACGUGUCUUUGCCAAUGGACUGUCCUUCCUGGAAUAUACUCAAUCCAUGUGACAAACUACAUCAAUGUUGACCUAAUCAGAAAAUGAUCCUUAUUAUUCAUCAAAUGAUAAGAAAUGGCUGAUACCACAACCUCCUCAAUGUAUUUACUGAGGGCCAUUGUGUCUGCCACAC